GGCGCUGUAGCUUAGCUGGAGAAAGCGCCUGUCUCGUAAACAGAAGGUCCCGAGUUCAAAUCCCAGCAGUGCCU